CCUGGAUUUGUUCAUAAUUUUCCAGACGAUAAAUGAAGAGCAUGGAGCAGUUCCUUAUCAUUGUUCUAUUAGCAGGAGGAACACUCGCUCUCGUUCCAGUUGAUGAGACUACUUGCGACCUCAGGACAAACACAUUUCCAUGCUCUCCUAUUCUUGAAGGAACUGUGUAUAUCCAAGUGAUGAAUGAUGCUAGUGGCCGUGAAAUGAAGUGUUUGAAGGUGCUCCCCAGUGUGAACAUAACUGUGUUCAAUCUGAAGAAAGGAAAAAUAACGAUAGACAAGGAAUUUAGCAACAGACUACAGUUUCUAAUCAAGAACGGGACACUCAAGAUCACAAACCUGAGGAGGAAUGAUUCAGGUCAAUACAGCAUUGAGGUCUUUAAUUCAGAUGGAGUUCAAGAGAAAAACAUUCUUUUCACCCUGGAUGUUAAAGACAAUGGCGAAGUUGAAGCUCUGGUUCCAGUUGAUGAGACUACUUGUGACCUCAGGACGAACACAUGCCCGUGCUUUCCUCUUCUUAAAGGAACUGUGUAUAUCCAAGUGAUGACUGAUGCCAGUGGCCAUGAAAUGAAGUGUUUGAAGGUGCUUCCCAAGGGAAACACAACUGUUUUCAAUCUGAAGAAAGGAAAAAUAACGACAGACAAGGAAUUUAACAACAGACUACAGUUUCUAAUCAAGAACGGGACACUCAAGAUCACAAACCUGAGGAGGAAUGAUUCAG
rnacentral:lncRNA from 1 species